rnacentral:misc_RNA from 1 species
CCAAACUUGGUCAUUUAGAGGAAGUAAAAGUCGUAACAAGGUUUCCGUAGGUGAACCUGCGGAAGGAUCAUUAUCUGGGGACCUUCCUUUCGCAGAUGGCCGAUGCCUUGGUGGCAUAUCCUCCACUGGGCUAGGUUAGGUGCAAGGGUCGCUCAGUUCACUGUGUUAUGUAAAUGUAUGAUUGUGUAUUUUAUACACAUUUAUUCACCUUUUUUGAAAUAUUUCUGAUUUGAUGUACAAUAAUCGAAAACUGCCAGCAAUGGAUCACUUGGUUCUCGCAUCGAUGAAGAACGCAGC